rnacentral:ncRNA from 1 species
UGUUAAGGUUUGAGAUGUAUUUUAUGACUGUGUUACGGGGUGGUUGGUAACCUGUCAAAGCCUAAUGCAGGUGUUCUAAAGUGAACUUAGGGAAGACAGAAACCUCCCACAGAGCAGAAGGGCAAAAGCUUGCUUGAUCUUGAUUUUUCAGUAUGAAUACAGGCCAUAAAAGUGGGGCCUCACAAUCAUCCUGGCUUUUUGGGAUUUAAGCAGGAGGUGUCAGAAAAGGUACCACA